rnacentral:rRNA from 1 species
GUGCCUAAUACAUGCAAGUAGAACGCUGAAGGAGGAGCUUGCUUCUCUGGAUGAGUUGCGAACGGGUGAGUAACGCGUAGGUAACCUGCCUGGUAGCGGGGGAUAACUAUUGGAAACGAUAGCUAAUACCGCAUAACAGUAGAUGUUGCAUGACAUUUGCUUAAAAGGUGCAAUUGCAUCACUACCAGAUGGACCUGCGUUGUAUUAGCUAGUUGGUGGGGUAACGGCUCACCAAGGCGACGAUACAUAGCCGACCUGAGAGGGUGAUCGGCCACACUGGGACUGAGACACGGCCCAGACUCCUACGGGAGGCAGCAGUAGGGAAUCUUCGGCAAUGGACGGAAGUCUGACCGAGCAACGCCGCGUGAGUGGAGAAGGUUUUCGGAUCGUAAAGCUCUGUUGUAAGAGAAGAACGAGUGUGAGAGUGGAAAGUUCACACUGUGACGGUAUCUUACCAGAAAGGGACGGCUAACUACGUGCCAGCAGCCGCGGUAAUACGUAGGUCCCGAGCGUUGUCCGGAUUUAUUGGGCGUAAAGCGAGCGCAGGCGGUUAGAUAAGUCUGAAGUUAAAGGCUGUGGCUUAACCAUAGUACGCUUUGGAAACUGUUUAACUUGAGUGCAAGGGGGGAGAGUGGAAUUCCAUGUGUAGCGGUGAAAUGCGUAGAUAUAUGGAGGAACACCAGUGGCGAAGGCGACUUUCUGGUCUGUAACUGACGCUGAUGUGCGAAAGCGUGGGGAUC